GACGAACGCUGGCGGCGUGCCUAAUACAUGCCAGUAGAACGCUGAAGGAGGAGCUUGCUCUUCUGGAUGAGUUGCGAACGGGUGAGUAACGCGUAGGUAACCUGCCUGGUAGCGGGGGAUAACUAUUGGAAACGAUAGCUAAUACCGCAUAAGAGUAGAUGUUGCAUGACAUUUACUUAAAAGGUGCAAUUGCAUCACUACCAGAUGGACCUGCGUUGUAUUAGCUAGUUGGUGGGGUAACGGCUUACCAAGGCGACGAUACAUAGCCGACCUGAGAGGGUGAUCGGCCACACUGGGACUGAGACACGGCCCAGACUCCUACGGGAGGCAGCAGUAGGGAAUCUUCGGCAAUGGACGGAAGUCUGACCGAGCAACGCCGCGGGAGUGAAGAAGGUUUUCGGAUCGUAAAGCUCUGUUGUAAGAGAAGAACGAGUGUGAGAGUGGAAAGUUCACACUGUGACGGUAUCUUACCAGAAAGGGACGGCUAACUACGUG
rnacentral:rRNA from 1 species